UACGUAGGGCGCAAGCGUUGUCCGGAAUUAUUGGGCGUAAAGAGCUCGUAGGCGGCUUGUCACGUCGGGUGUGAAAGCCCGGGGCUUAACCCCGGGUCUGCAUUCGAUACGGGCAGGCUAGAGUGUGGUAGGGGAGACUGGAAUUCCUGGUGUAGCGGUGAAAUGCGCAGAUAUCAGGAGGAACACCGGUGGCGAAGGCGGGUCUCUGGGCCGAUACUGACGCUGAGGAGCGAAAGCGUGGGGAGCGAACAGG
rnacentral:rRNA from 1 species